AUUGAACGCUGGCGGCGUGCUUAACACAUGCAAGUCGUGCGGUAACAGGCGUAGCAAUACGUGCUGACGAGCGGCGAACGGGUGCGUAAUACAUGGGAAUCUGCCUUUUAGUGGGGAAUAACCCGGCGAAAGCCGGGCUAAUGCCGCAUAAGAUCUUCGGAUGAAAGCGGGGGAUCGUAAGACCUCGCGCUGAUAGAUGAGCCCAUGCCGGAUUAGCUAGUUGGUGAGGUAACGGCUCACCAAGGCGACGAUCCGUAGCUGGUCUGAGAGGACGGCCAGCCACACUGGGACUGAGACACGGCCCAGACUCCUACGGGAGGCAGCAGUGGGGAAUAUUGGACAAUGGGGGAAACCCUGA
rnacentral:rRNA from 1 species